rnacentral:tRNA from 1 species
GUGGCAGUGCGUGGCCGAAUGGUUACGCUUUGUAAGCGGAUGAUUCUGGGUUCGAUUCCCAUCUGCUGCA